rnacentral:rRNA from 1 species
AGGAAUCUGCCUAUUAGUGGGGGACAACAUCUCGAAAGGGAUGCUAAUACCGCAUACGUCCUACGGGAGAAAGCAGGGGACCUUCGGGCCUUGCGCUAAUAGAUGAGCCUAAGUCGGAUUAGCUAGUUGGUGGGGUAAAGGCCUACCAAGGCGACGAUCUGUAGCGGGUCUGAGAGGAUGAUCCGCCACACUGGGACUGAGACACGGCCCAGACUCCUACGGGAGGCAGCAGUGGGGAAUAUUGGACAAUGGGGGGAACCCUGAUCCAGCCAUGCCGCGUGUGUGAAGAAGGCCUUUUGGUUGUAAAGCACUUUAAGCGAGGAGGAGGCUACCGAGAUUAAUACUCUUGGAUAGUGGACGUUACUCGCAGAGUAAGCACCGGCUAACUCUGUGCCAGCAGCCGCGGUAAUACAGAGGGUGCAAGCGUUAAUCGGAUUUACUGGGCGUAAAGCGCGCGUAGGUGGCCAAUUAAGUCAAAUGUGAAAUCCCCGAGCUUAACUUGGGAAUUGCAUUCGAUACUGGUUGGCUAGAGUAUGGGAGAGGAUGGUAGAAUUCCAGGU